UACGUAGGGUGCGAGCGUUGUCCGGAAUUAUUGGGCGUAAAGGGUGCGCAGGCGGCCAAGUGUGUGAGGCGUGAAAGCCCGGGGCUUAACCCCGGAAUUGCACCUCAAACUACAUGGCUAGAGCAUUGGAGAGGGUAGCAGAAUUCACGGUGUAGCAGUGAAAUGCGUAGAUAUCGUGAGGAAUACCAGAGGCGAAGGCGGCUACCUGGACAAUUGCUGACGCUCAGGCACGAAAGCGUGGGGAGCAAAAGGG
rnacentral:rRNA from 1 species